rnacentral:rRNA from 1 species
CCCUUAGAUGUUCUGGGCCGCACGCGCGCUACACUGAUGCAUUCAACGAGUCUAAAACCUGCUCUGAUAGGGGUGGGUAAUCUUUUGAAUGUGCAUCGUGAUUGGGAUAGAUGAUUGCAAUUUUUCAUCUUCAACGAGGAAUGCCUAGUAAACGCAAGUCAUCAGCUUGCAUUGAUUACGUCCCUGCCCUUUGUACACACCGCCCGUCGCUCCUACCGAUUGAAUGAUCCGAUGAAUAUCAUGGAUUGAGGAUGCAAGCAGGUUCGCCUGUCUUCAUCUUCGAGAAGUGAAUUAAAUCUUAUCAUUUAGAGGAAGGAGAAGUCGUAACA